CCUGGUGAUUAUAGCGUAAGUGUAAUACCCGAUCCCUUUCCGAACUCGGAAGUCAAGCCUUACUGCGCUGAUGGUACUUUGUCUUAAGGCAUGGAAGAGUAAGACGUUGCCAGGC
rnacentral:rRNA from 1 species